GAAUACAGUGUUAAUGGCAUUCAUCAACCUUAUAAAUGUUACCCCAACUAUCUAAAGUAAUGAAAAUCAAUAUUUGUUGAUUUUGUAUCUUGUAUACAUCAACAAAACAACAUUAAAUUCCUUCAACAAUUUAACUACAUCGGAAUAUGUCCUAAAGAGAUCACUUAGCACCUAAGAUUCAUCGACAUGUCUACUUCAGUGGAUAUAUUUAUC
rnacentral:lncRNA from 1 species